ensembl:lncRNA
AUUUGUCCAAUAAAGUGAUUCUAGUCUAAUGUAAACAUGAAUCACUUUAAUCACAUACCUCUCAGCAUUUACUUUAACAGUGACCUCUUCAAAGGAUUUUGUCAUGAUCUGUGUUUUUGUUCUUGUCAUGAUCUGUGUUUUUGUUCUAGUUGAUUCCUUGUCUUAUUUUGGUUCCAGGUUCCGUUUCCUGUUUUAUUUUGGUAGCCCCCCGGUCUUUGUUUUGUGUUCUAGCUUCACUUCCGAGUCAUGUCACGUCACAGCUGUUCUUGUUUCACCCGGUCGUUAUCCUCACCUGCGCUGCAUCAGUAAUCACUCACCCGUGUAUUUAGUCGCCUCCUGUUCCCGUAGUCACUUGCCAGAUUGUCGUAUUCGAGUCCCAUGAGUGUUCGUGUUUCUUGUGAAUCCCUGAGCUGAGCGUCCCUAGUUUCCUGAGUCCCCUGAAUGUUCGUGUUCCUCGUGUUUUUGUUCCUGUCUGCAUCGUGUAUCCUGCCCGACCCUGGAUUAUCUACUUACCGUGAGUUUUGCCUGUUCCCUGCCUGUACUUUUACCGAGCCUUUUGUGUAUGACCUGGACCGUCUGACCGUGCCUUUGGAUAAUAAACCUUUUGUUGAUUAUACUCUCGCCUCCAUGCUGUGCAUGUGGGUCCGCCGCCUGCCCGAGUCCCUGACAGAACAAUCUGGCCACACUUGGACCCAGCCAGCACUUAGCCUCCGGUCAGGUCAGUGACUGUUUUUCCCUUGUUUUUUUUACGGCAAAUAUAACUCUCCCGCGGAAGUAUGGAGUUUACCUGCGCCGAGCUACCCAGCGACCUACAUAAGUAUUUCAAGAUCCUUGCGGAGGAUUACCGACGGGCUAGUAACUCGGAGGAUCAGCGCAGCGCCGUAGAGGUGGCAAUAGUGACGCUGGAGGACGAUGACACCGCGUUAGAUCACCCCAGCGUUCAUCGCCUCUACGAGCGACUGUGCGCGAAGUUUGACGAGUUAAGCGACGCGCUCUGUACCACGCCAGCGCCAGUCGCACCGCCGAUGGUUUCGGUUUCCUUCUCCCCGCCCCGUCGGAUCGUCGUGCCUACACCAACCUGCCCAGCUCCAUGGUUGUUUCCCUGGGAGGAUUUCCUGCUCUCACGCGGCCCUCAGUCUCCAGUUCAGCCGCGCGCUGCUCGGUCUCCAGUUCAGCCGCGCGCUGCUCAGUCUCCAAGUCAGCCGCGCGCUGCUCAGCCUCCAAGUCAGCCGCGCGCUGCUCAGUUUCCAGUUCAGCCGCGCGCUGCUCAGUUUCCAGUUCAGCCGCGCGCUGCUCAGUUUCCAGUUCAGCCGCGCGCUGCUCAGUCUCCAAGUCAGCCGCGCGCUGCUCAGCCUCCAAGUCAGCCGCGCGCUGCUCAGUCUCCAGUUCAGCCGCGCGCUGCUCAGUCUCCAGAUCAGCCGCGCGCUGCCCAGACCCCAGUUCAGCCGUGUGUUACUCAUGCCCCGGUGCAGCCCUGUCGUCUCCAGGCCCCAGCCCAGUCGAACCUAGUCCAGACCCCAGUUCAGCCGUGUGUUACUCAUGCCCCGGUGCAGCCGUGUGUCGCCCAGACCCCAGAUCAGCCGUGUGUCGCCCAGACCCCAGAUCAGCCGUGUGUCGCCCAGACCCCAGAUCAGUCGUGUGUUGCCCAGACCCCAGUUCCGUCCUUGUCCCCGUCAGAGGGCACCGCCCGUCUGACGAUUGUUAACCCCACCCAAUCAGGCCCGACGUCUUCCCCGUCGAGCUCGGCAGCCGUAAGUUGUCAUGCCAGCUCCGGAGUUGACGCCGUUCCAGUCCCUGUCGGCCAUGUUGCGGCCGUUCCAGUCCCUGUCGGCCAUGUUGCGGCCGUUCUAGUUCCUGUCGGCUCCUCAGAGGAGGAUGCCGUUCUAGUUCCUGUCGGCUCCUCAGAGGAGGACGCCGUUCCUGUUCCCGUCGGCCAUAUUGAGGCCGUUCUAGUUCCAGUUCCUGUCGGCUCCUCAGAGGAGGACGCCGUUCUAGUUCCUGUCGGCCAAGCAGAGGCCGUUCCAGUUCCUGUCGGCCAUGUUGAGGUCGUUCCAGUUCCUGUCGGCCAUGUUGAGGUCGUUCCAGUUCCUGUCGGCCAUGUUGAGGUCGUUCCAGUUCUUGUCGGCCAUGUUGAGGUCGUUCCAGUUCCUGUCGGCCAUGUUGAGGUCGUUCCAGUUCCUGUCCCUGUCGGCCAUGUUGAGGUCGUUCCAGUUCCUGUUCCUGUCGGCCAUGUUGAGGUCGUUCCAGUUCCUGUCCCUGUCGACCAAGUUGAGGUCGUUCCAGUUCCUGUCCCUGUCGACCAAGUUGAGGUCGUUCCAGUUCCUGUUCCUGUCGGCCAUGUUGAGGUCGUUCCAGUUCCUGUCCCUGUCGACCAAGUUGAGGUCGUUCCAGUUCCUGUCCCUGUCGACCAAGUUGAGGUCGUUCCAGUUCCUGUCCCUGUCGACCAAGUUGAGGUCGUUCCAGCUCCUGUCCCUGUCGACCAAGUUGAGGGCGUUCCCGUAGGCCAAGUAGAGGGCGUUCCCGUAGGCCAAGUAGAGGGCGUUCCCGUAGGCCAAGUAGAGGGCGUUCCCGUAGGCCAAGUAGAGGGCGUUCCCGUAGGCCAAGUUGAGGGCGUUCCCGUAGGCCAAGUUGAGGGCGUUCCCGUAGGCCAAGUAGAGGUCACCCCUGUCUCUGACCCCGUUCCCGUCGGCCCUGUAGCGGUCGUUCCAUUCCCCGUUCCCGUCGGCCCUGUAGCGGUCGUUCCAGUCCCCGUCACCCUUGGAGCCGCAGCGCCCGCCGGCCUCCAGGAGGAGGCAGCACCUGCAGUUCCUGCGCACCUCCAGGAGGAGGUCGCGCCAGUGGCAGUUCCUGCGCACCUCCAGGAGGAGGUCGCGCUAGCCGUAGUUCCUGCGCGCCUCCAGGAGGAGGUCGCGUCAGCCGCAGUUCCUGCGCGCCUCCAGGAGGAGGUCGCGUCAGCCGCAGUUCCUGCGCGCCUCCAGGAGGAGGUCGCGUCAGCCGCAGUUCCUGCGCGCCUCCAGGAGGAGGUCGCGCCAGCCGCAGUUCCUGCGCGCCUCCAGGAGGAGGUCGCGCCAGCCGCAGUUCCUGCGCGCCUCCAGGAGGAGGUCGCGCCAGCCGCAGUUCCUGCGCGCCUCCAGGAGGAGGUCGCGCCAGCCGCAGUUCCUGCGCGCCUCCAGGAGGAGGUCGCGCCAGCCGCAGUUCCUGCGCGCCUCCAGGAGGAGGUCGCGCCAGCCGCAGUCCCGGCGGACUCCCAGGAGGGGGUCGCGCCCGUCGCAGUCCCGGCGGACUCCCAGGAGGGGGUCGCGCCCGUCGCAGUUCCUGUCGACCCCCAGGAGGGGGUCGCGCCCGUCGCAGUUCCUGUCGACCCCCAGGAGGGGGUCGCGCCCGUCAUAGUUCCUGCCGACCUCCAGGAGGGGGUCGCUCCCGUCGCAGCUCCGGCGGACCUCCAGGAGGGGGUCGCUCCCGUCGCAGCUCCGGCGGACCUCCAGGAGGGGGUCGCGCCCGUCGUAGUUCCUGCCGACCUCCAGGAGGGGGUCGCUCUCGCCGUAGUUCCUGCCGACCUCCAGGAGGGGGUCGCUCCCGCCGUAGUUCCUGCCGACCUCCAGGAGGGGGUCGCUCCCGCCGUAGUUCCUGCCGACCUCCAGGAGGGGGUCGCUCCCGUCGUAGUUCCUGCCGACCUCCAGGAGGGGGUCGCUCCCGCCGUAGUUCCUGCCGACCUCCAGGAGGGGGUCGCUCCCGCCGUAGUCCCUGCCGACCUCCAGGAGGGGGUCGCUCCCGUCGUAGUCCCUGCCGACCUCCAGGAGGGGGUCGCUCCCGUCCCGGCUCCGGCCGCACCUGCAUCGGUUCCUGGCGGCCCGGCUCCGGCCGCACCUGCAUCGGUUCCUGUCUCUCGUCGCGGUGGUCCAAAGAGGACGCCGCUGGCCCCUGCCUCGUCCUUGCCCCGGCCGCCGGACGAGUGGCCUCGCCCUCGGCGCCUCCUGCUGCCCGGAUGGCGCUGCCUCUUGCGGCGACGCCCGCCUCGACUCCUCAGCCCAUCGGAUCAGCGUCCGCCUGGAGAACGUUGCCAUUCGGGGUGGCUCCCGGGGACAUCGGUCCAGCCCAAGGGCACUAAGAGUGCCACCCUGGCUCAGCGGCUGCUGAGCAGGAUCUCGCCACGCCGUCACCCUCCGUGACGGAAUCUCUGAACUUCAUGUCUUCCCUGGUCGUGGACUUUGUUGUGGACUCUUGUUUUGGCCCUCCCCCGGUCCUCCCUCCUCCCACCCUGCUCGUGUACCUUGAGGGGUAGGGAUUCGGUCCCUCCGCCUGGGACCACCCUCCGCCCGCCCUGGUUUGGGGGGGGGGGCUUCCGUAGGCGCCGUGGAAGGCGCCAUAGGGGGGGGGGGUACUGUCAUGAUCUGUGUUUUUGUUCUUGUCAUGAUCUGUGUUUUUGUUCUAGUUGAUUCCUUGUCUUAUUUUGGUUCCAGGUUCCGUUUCCUGUUUUAUUUUGGUAGCCCCCCGGUCUUUGUUUUGUGUUCUAGCUUCACUUCCGAGUCAUGUCACGUCACAGCUGUUCUUGUUUCACCCGGUCGUUAUCCUCACCUGCGCUGCAUCAGUAAUCACUCACCCGUGUAUUUAGUCGCCUCCUGUUCCCGUAGUCACUUGCCAGAUUGUCGUAUUCGAGUCCCAUGAGUGUUCGUGUUUCUUGUGAAUCCCUGAGCUGAGCGUCCCUAGUUUCCUGAGUCCCCUGAAUGUUCGUGUUCCUCGUGUUUUUGUUCCUGUCUGCAUCGUGUAUCCUGCCCGACCCUGGAUUAUCUACUUACCGUGAGUUUUGCCUGUUCCCUGCCUGUACUUUUACCGAGCCUUUUGUGUAUGACCUGGACCGUCUGACCGUGCCUUUGGAUAAUAAACCUUUUGUUGAUUAUACUCUCGCCUCCGUG